rnacentral:rRNA from 1 species
UACGAACGCUGGCGGCAGGCCUAAAACAUGCAAGUCGAACGCCCCGCAAGGGGAGUGGCGCACGGGUGAGUAACGCGUGGGAACGUGCCCCUUAGUACGGGACAACGUCGGGAAACUGACGCUAAUACCGUAUAAUAUCUCCGGAUCAAAGAUUUAACGUUGAUGGAGCGGCCCGCGUCUGAUUAGCUAGUUGGUGAGGUAAAGCCUCACCAAGGAUACGAUCAGGAGCAGGUUUGAGGGGAUGAUCUGCCACACUGGGACUGAGACACGGCCCAGACUCCUACGGGAGGCAGCAGUUAGGAAUAUUGGACAAUGGGGGAAACCCUGAUCCAGCCAUGCCGCGUGUGUGAUGAAGGCCCUAGGGUUGUAAAGCACUUUCGUUGGGGAUGAUAAUGACCGUACCCAAAGAAGAAGCCACGGCUAAAUUCGUGCCAGCAGCCGCCGUAA